CAAUACGUGCCUAAUAAGUACUUUUCAGCAAUGAGAAGUAAUGCACUUAUCGGAGCAAAACUAAUCUUGUUUUAUGCUAACUCUGGGUAACACUGCUUAUCGCACGACUUUACGUCGGCGAAAUUACAUUCAAGUAUCUGCCUUAUCAACUUUCGAUGGUAGUGUAUUGGACUGCCAUGGUGUUGACGGGUAACGGAGAAUCAGGGUUCGACUCCGGAGAGGGAGCCUUAGAAACGGCUACCAUGUCUAAGGACAGCAGCAGGCGCGCAACUUAUCCACUGUUCAUUGAACGAGAUAGUGACGAGAAAUAACAAGUCCGUUCUCUUUGAGGUCGGACAUUGGAAUGGAUGAAAUCUAAACAAUUUCAUGAGUACCUACGAGAGGGCAAGUCUGGUGCCAGCAGCCGCGGUAAUUCCAGCUCUCGUAAUGUAUAGAAUUAUUGUUGCGGUUAAAAAGUUCGUAGUUGGAUUUUCUACUGUUCGGGGGUCGGCUUUAACGAGACGGUACUUCUGGCAGUGUUUGCAUUCGAUUUGGAAGCAAUUUCAAAUUGGAUGCGGAUUACUUUGAACGGCUUAAGUGCUCAAGGCGAGUCUUCGGACUGAAUACCUGGUGCAUGGAAUAAUGGAACAAGGUUUCGGCCGAGUUUUAUUGGUUUUGUCGGCUAAAACAAUGGUUAACAGGAACAGCUGGGGGCACUCGUAUCGCUGCGCGAGAGGUGAAAUUCGUGGACCGCAGCGAGACGCCCUAAAGCGAAGGCAUUUGCCAAGAGUGUUUUCAUUAAUCAAGAACGAAAGUCAGAGGUUCGAAGGCGAUUAGAUACCGCCCUAGUUCUGACCGUAAACGAUGCCAACUAUCAAUCCGCCAGUAGCUUUUAGUUAUUGGCGGGAGGAUCGACGGAAACGAAAGUUUUUCGGUUCCGGGGGAAGUAUGGUUGCAAAGCUGAAACUUAAAGGAAUUGACGGAAGGGCACCACCAGGAGUGGAGCUUGCGGCUUAAUUUGACUCAACACGGGAAACCUCACCCGGCCAGUACAUCAUAAGGAUUGACAGAUUGAAAGCUCUUUCAUGAUUUGAUGAAUGGUGGUGCAUGGCCGUUCUUAGUUCGUGGUGUGAACUGUCUGCUUAAUUGCGAUAACGAGCGAGACUCCGACUGUUAAAUAGUGAAUGGUUUAUUACUGACCAUUACACUUCUUAACGGGAUUCGCAACUUCAAGUUGCAAGAAAUGGAGCAAUAACAGGUCUGUGAUGCCCUUAGAUGUUCGGGGCGGCACGCGUGCUACAAUGAUGGUAACAGCGUGAUUGUCCUCGCCCGACAGGGCUUGGCAAACAGUUGAGAUAUUAUUAUGGCUGGAAUUGAGUGUUGAAAUUUUCUCUCAUGAACGAGGAAUUCCAAGUAAAUGCGAGUCAUCAACUCGCAUUGAUUACGUCCCUGCCCUUUGUACACACCGCCCGUCGCUACCCGGGACUGAGUUAUUUCGAGAAAUCUACGGACUUUUUGUUGGGAAGCAAUUCUCUGCUUAAUGGAAAGUAAAUUAAUCGCAAUAAUUUGAACCGGGUAAAAGUCGUAACAAGGUAUCAGUAGGUGAACCUGCUGAUGGAUCACUA
rnacentral:rRNA from 1 species